rnacentral:rRNA from 1 species
AACAUAAUACAUGCAAGUCGAGCGACAGAUAAGGAGCUUGCUCCUUUGACGUGAGCGGCGGACGGGUGAGUAACACGUGGGUAACCUACCUAUAAGACUGGAAUAACUCCGGGAAACCGGGGCUAAUGCCGGAUAACAUUUAGAACCGCAUGGUUCUAAAGUGAAAGAUGGUUUUGCUAUCACUUAUAGAUGGACCCGCGCCGUAUUAGCUAGUUGGUAAGGUAACGGCUUACCAAGGCAACGAUACGUAGCCGACCUGAGAGGGUGAUCGGCCACACUGGAACUGAGACACGGUCCAGACUCCUACGGGAGGCAGCAGUAGGGAAUCUUCCGCAAUGGGCGAAAGCCUGACGGAGCAACGCCGCGUGAGUGAUGAAGGUCUUCGGAUCGUAAAACUCUGUUAUUAGGGAAGAACAAAUGUGUAAGUAACUGUGCACGUCUUGACGGUACCUAAUCAGAAAGCCACGGCUAACUACGUGCCAGCAGCCGCGGUAAUACGUAGGUGGCAAGCGUUAUCCGGAAUUAUUGGGCGUAAAGCGCGCGUAGGCGGUUUCUUAAGUCUGAUGUGAAAGCCCACGGCUCAGCGUGGAGGGUCAUGGGAAACUGGGAAACUGAGUGCAGAAGAGGAAAGUGGAAUCCAUGUGUAGCGGUGAAAUGCGCAGAGAUAUGGAGGAACACAGUGGCGAAGGCGACUUUCUGGUCUGUACCUGACGCUGAUGUGCGAAAGCCUGGGGAUCUACAGGAUUAGAUCCCCUGGUAGUCACGCCGUAAACGAUGAUUCUAGUGUAGGGGGGUUCCGCCCCUAUUCUCAGCUACGCAUUAGCACUCGCCUGGAAUCAAGCAGGGUGAACUAAGAAUACGGGACCGCACCGGUACAUUGUUAUUCACACCGGACAUCAACUGAC